UACGGAGGGUGCAAGCGUUGUUCGGAAUCACUGGGCGUAAAGCGCGUGUAGGCGGCUUUGCAAGCCGGGUGUGAAAGCCCUCAGCUCAACUGAGGAAGUGCGCCCGAAACUGCAGAGCUUGAGUGCCGGAGAGGGUGGCGGAAUUCCCCAAGUAGAGGUGAAAUUCGUAGAUAUGGGGAGGAACACCGGUGGCGAAGGCGGCCACCUGGACGGUAACUGACGCUGAGACGCGAAAGCGUGGGGAGCAAACAGG
rnacentral:rRNA from 1 species